rnacentral:rRNA from 1 species
AUUGAACGCUGGCGGCAGGCCUAACACAUGCAAGUCGAACGAGUGGCGGACGGGUGAGUAAUGUCUGGGAACCUGCCCGAUGGAGGGGGAUAACUACUGGAAACGGUAGCUAAUACCGCAUACCAUCGGAUGUGCCCAGAUGGGAUUAGCUAGUAGGUGGGGUAAAGGCUCACCUAGGCGACGAUCCCUAGCUGGUCUGAGAGGAUGACCAGCCACAUUGGAACUGAGACACGGCCCAGACCCCCACGGGAGGCAGCAGUGGUGAAGAUUGCACAAUGGGCGCAAGCUUGAAGCAGCCAUGCCGCGUGUAGGAAGAAGGUCUUCGGGUUGUAAAGUACUGUCAGCGGGGAGGCGUUACCCGCAGAAGAGGCACCGGCUAACUCCGUGCCAGCAGCCGCGGUAAUUC